GAAGAGUUCAUACUUUUAGCAUGCAGAGUGAGAAUUCUUCAUCCUCCUGGCAACAAAACUGCCCACACAUCAUUUACAAGGGGAGAAGGUUCUUGAUUGCUGUGUAUCAGAAAACUGCAAUUUGAGGAAAGCAGUCCAUCUGCAAACUGCUGAGAGUCACAUCUUGUUUUAACCGAGCAUAAUAAAACAGCUGCUUUAUGACCAGACAUGACAAGAUAUGAAGAUACCAGGGUCAUCUCCACAGGCUGGAAUAAAAACAGAGAACUGUAUUCCAUUUCCAGUGCUCCCAGAGAAUCCUGGGCAGUCUUAUCCUUCACACAAAGCCUUCCUGAUGCAAAGUGAUGAAAAUGGUAAGAAAUGCCUCCCAGAGGAAGAGUUUGUUGCCUUCCUGUGGACCCAUGGUGCCUGUAACAGAUUUUUAAGCAGCAUCAGGUGCUGACUGUGCCAUAUGGGUGGUUCUAAAAAGAUGGCUCUGUGCUUCCAAUAGAGGUUUUCAGAAAAAUUUAGGACAAUUGUAAUCCUACCCAAAGCUAAUCCCAGAAAUUCACUUCAAAGAAAUUCAGUGCUUCAAAAAUAAGUUCAAAAAUAAAGCAUUGUGAUUCUGAGUAACA
ensembl:lncRNA